GACGAACGCUGGCGGCGUGCCUAAUACAUGCAAGUUGAGCGCUGAAGGUUGGUACUUGUACCAACUGGAUGAGCAGCGAACGGGUGAGUAACGCGUGGGGAAUCUGCCUUUGAGCGGGGGACAACAUUUGGAAACGAAUGCUAAUACCGCAUAAAAACUUUAAACACAAGUUUUAAGUUUGAAAGAUGCAACUGCAUCACUCAAAGAUGAUCCCGCGUUGUAUUAGCUAGUUGGUGAGGUAAAGGCUCACCAAGGCGAUGAUACAUAGCCGACCUGAGAGGGUGAUCGGCCAAAAUGGGACUGGGACACGGCCCAAAACCCUAAGGGAGGCAGCAGUAGGGAAUCUUCGGCAAUGGACGAAAGUCUGAACGAGCAACGCCGCGUGAGUGAAGGAGGUUUUCGGAUCGUAAAACUCUGUUGGUAGAGAAGAACGUUGGUGGGAGUGGAAAGCUCAUCAAGUGACGGUAACUACCCAGAAAGGGACGGCUAACUACGUG
rnacentral:rRNA from 1 species